GUCUACGGCCACGCCACCCUGAACAAGCCCGAUGUCUGACUUCGGAAGCUGAGCAGGGUCGGGCCUGGUUAGUACUUGGAUGGGAGACCACCUAGGAAGACCAGGUGCUGUAGGUG
rnacentral:rRNA from 1 species